UACGUAGGGUGCAAGCGUUAAUCGGAAUUACUGGGCGUAAAGCGUGCGCAGGCGGUUUUGUAAGUCUGUCGUGAAAGCCCCGGGCGCAACCUGGGAAUUGCGUUGGAGACUGCAAGGCUAGAAUCUGGCAGAGGGGGGUAGAAUUCCACGUGUAGCAGUGAAAUGCGUAGAGAUGUGGAGGAACACCGAUGGCGAAGGCAGCCCCCUGGGUCAAGAUUGACGCUCAUGCACGAAAGCGUGGGGAGCAAACAGG
rnacentral:rRNA from 1 species